rnacentral:rRNA from 1 species
UGGGGGAUAUUGCACAAUGGGCGAAAGCCUGAUGCAGCGACGCCGCGUGGGGGAUGAAGGCCUUCGGGUUGUAAACUUCUUUUGCUCUGAACAAGGCAUGCUUUUGGGGUGUGUUGAGUGUAGGGGUUGAUUAGCGCCGGCUAACUACGUGCCAGCAGCCGCGGUAAUACGUAGGGCGCGAGCGUUGUCCGGAAUUAUUGGGCGUAAAGGGCUUGUAGGUGGCUGGUUGCGUCUGUCGUGAAAGCUCAUGGCUUAACUGUGGGUUUGCGGUGGGUACGGGCUGGCUUGAGUGCAGUAGGGGAGGCUGGAAUUCCUUGUGUAGCGGUGGAAUGCGCAGAUAUCAGGAGGAAUACCGGUGGCGAAGGCGGGUCUCUGGGCUGUUACUGACGCUGAGGAGCGAAAGCGUGGGGAGCGAACAGG